rnacentral:rRNA from 1 species
ACGAACGCUGGCGGCGUGCCUAAUACAUGCAAGUCGAACGGUCUUUCUAUGGAAGCUUGCUUCCACUGAAAAGAUAGUGGCGAACGGGUGAGUAACACGUGGGUAACCUGCCCAUAAGAGGGGGGAUAACAUCCGGAAACGGGUGCUAAUACCGCAUAGUUUUCUUGAUCGCAUGAUCGGGAAAGGAAAGACGGCCUUUGUGCUGUCGCUUAUGGAUGGACCCGCGGCGUAUUAGUUAGUUGGUGAGGUAACGGCUCACCAAGACGAUGAUACGUAGCCGACCUGAGAGGGUGAUCGGCCACAUUGGGACUGAGACACGGCCCAAACUCCUACGGGAGGCAGCAGUAGGGAAUCUUCCGCAAUGGACGAAAGUCUGACGGAGCAACGCCGCGUGAGUGAAGAAAAGGUUUUCGGAUCGUAAAACUCUGUUGUCAGAGAAGAACAAGUUGGAGAGUAACUGCUCCAGCCUUGACGGUAUCUGACCAGAAAGCCACGGCUAACUACGUGCCAGCCGCUGC